rnacentral:rRNA from 1 species
AUUGAACGCUGGCGGCAUGCCUUACACAUGCAAGUCGAACGGUAACGGGCCUUCGGGUGCCGACGAGUGGCGAACGGGUGAGUAAUGUAUCGGAACGUACCUUUCAGUGGGGGAUAACGUAGCGAAAGUUACGCUAAUACCGCAUAUUCUGUGCGCAGGAAAGCAGGGGAUCGCAAGACCUUGCGCUGAUUGAGCGGCCGAUAUCAGAUUAGCUAGUUGGUGAGGUAAAGGCUCACCAAGGCGACGAUCUGUAGCGGGUCUGAGAGGAUGAUCCGCCACACUGGAACUGAGACACGGUCCAGACUCCUACGGGAGGCAGCAGUGGGGAAUUUUGGACAAUGGGGGCAACCCUGAUCCAGCCAUGCCGCGUGAGUGAAGAAGGCCUCGGUGUAAG